GCCCCGGUAGCUCAGCGGUAGAGCGCCGGCCUCGUAAGCCGGUGGUCGAGGGUUCGAAUCCCUCCCGGGGCU
rnacentral:tRNA from 4 species